GUGCCAGCAGCCGCGGUAAUACGGAGGGUGCAAGCGUUAAUCGGAAUUACUGGGCGUAAAGCGCACGCAGGCGGUUGGAUAAGUUAGAUGUGAAAGCCCCGGGCUCAACCUGGGAAUUGCAUUUAAAACUGUCCAGCUAGAGUCUUGUAGAGGGGGGUAGAAUUCCAGGUGUAGCGGUGAAAUGCGUAGAGAUCUGGAGGAAUACCGGUGGCGAAGGCGGCCCCCUGGACAAAGACUGACGCUCAGGUGCGAAAGCGUGGGGGAGCAAACAGGAUUAGAUACCCUGGUAGUCC
rnacentral:rRNA from 1 species